rnacentral:pre_miRNA from 15 species
UAACCUGGAACUAACUGCCCAGCCUGUGGUCCUCAAAUGUGGAGGCACUCUUCUGCUAUCUAAAUGGAAAGUGCUGCCAAAUUUGGGUGUCACCGGUGGACACUUUACAUCAAGCAACCA